UACGUAGGCAGCAAGCGUUGUUCGGAGUUACUGGGCGUAAAGGGUGCGUAGGCGGCUUCUUAAGUCUGGUGUGAAAUCUCCCGGCUCAACUGGGAGGGUGCGCCGGAUACUGAGGGGCUAGAGUGUGGGAGAGGUGAGUGGAAUUCCCAGUGUAGAGGUGAAAUUCGUAGAUAUUGGGAAGAACACCGGUGGCGAAGGCGGCUCACUGGCCCGUAACUGACGCUCAUGCGCGAAAGCGUGGGGAUCAAACAGG
rnacentral:rRNA from 1 species